rnacentral:rRNA from 1 species
GACGAACGCUGGCGGCGUGCCUAAUACAUGCAAGUCGAACGAGUGGCGGACGGGUGAGUAACACGUGGGAACCUACCCAUCAGAGGGGGAUAACUACUGGAAACGGUAGCUAAUACCGCAUACCAUCAGAUGAACCCAUAUGGGAUUAGCUUGUAGGUGAGGUAACGGCUCACCUAGGCGACGAUCCCUAGCUUGUCUGAGAUGAUGAUCAGCCACACUGGGACUGAGGCACGGCCCAGAUUCCUACGGGAGGAAGAAGUGGGGAAUAUUGCCCAAUGGGCGCAAGCCUGAUGCAGCCAUGCCGCGUGUAUGAAGACGGCCUUCGGGUUUUAAAGUACGUUCAGUCGGGAGGCGUUACCGACAGAAGAAGCACCGGCUAACUCCGUGCAAGCAGCCGCGGUAAUAC